GAAUGCUGACAUAAGUAACGAUAAAGCGGGUGAAAAGCCCGCUCGCCGGAAGACCAAGGGUUCCUGUCCAACGUUAAUCGGGGCAGGGUGAGUCGACCCCUAAGGCGAGGCCGAAAGGCGUAGUCGAUGGGAAACGGGUUAAUAUUCCCGUACUUGGUGUUACUGCGAAGGGGGGACGGAGAAGGCUAUGUUGGCCGGGCGACGGUUGUCCCGGUUUAAGCGUGUAGGUGUGUGUUCCAGGUAAAUCCGGUUCACUUUAACACUGAGGCGUGAUGACGAGGCACCACGGUGCUGAAGCAACAAAUGCCCUGCUUCCAGGAAAAGCCUCUAAGCCUCAGGUAACAUCAAAUCGUACCCCAAACCGACACAGGUGGUCAGGUAGAGAAUACCAAGGCGCUUGAGAGAACUCGGGUGAAGGAACUAGGCAAAAUGGUGCCGUAACUUCGGGAGAAGGCACGCUGACACGUAGGUGAAGUGGUUUACCCAUGGAGCUGAAGUCAGUCGAAGAUACCAGCUGGCUGCAACUGUUUAUUAAAAACACAGCACUGUGCAAACACGAAAGUGGACGUAUACGGUGUGACGCCUGCCCGGUGCCGGAAGGUUAAUUGAUGGGGUCAGCGCAAGCGAAGCUCCUGAUCGAAGCCCCGGUAAACGGCGGCCGUAACUAUAACGGUCCUAAGGUAGCGAAAUUCCUUGUCGGGUAAGUUCCGACCUGCACGAAUGGCGUAAUGAUGGCCAGGCUGUCUCCACCCGGGACUCAGUGAAAUUGAACUCGCUGUGAAGAUGCAGUGUACCCGCGGCAAGACGGAAAGACCCCGUGAACCUUUACUAUAGCUUGACACUGAACACUGGUCCUUGAUGUGCAGGAUAGGUGGGAGGCUUUGAAGUGUGGACGCCAGUCUGCAUGGAGCCAUCCUUGAAAUACCACCCUUUAAUGGCUGGUGUUCUAACGUGGGCCCGUGAACCGGGUUGCGGACAGUGUCUGGUGGGUAGUUUGACUGGGGCGGUCUCCUCCUAAAGAGUAACGGAGGAGCACGAAGGUUGGCUAAUCCUGGUCGGACAUCAGGAGGUUAGUGCAAUGGCAUAAGCCAGCUUGACUGCGAGCGUGACGGCGCGAGCAGGUGCGAAAGCAGGUCAUAGUGAUCCGGUGGUUCUGAAUGGAAGGGCCAUCGCUCAACGGAUAAAAGGUACUCCGGGGAUAACAGGCUGAUACCGCCCAAGAGUUCAUAUCGACGGCGGUGUUUGGCACCUCGAUGUCGGCUCAUCACAUCCUGGGGCUGAAGUAGGUCCCAAGGGUAUGGCUGUUCGCCAUUUAAAGUGGUACGCGAGCUGGGUUUAGAACGUCGUGAGACAGUUCGGUCCCUAUCUGCCGUGGGCGCUGGAAGAUUGAGGGGGGCUGCUCCUAGUACGAGAGGACCGGAGUGGACGCAUCACUGGUGUUCGGGUUGUCAUGCCAAUGGCACUGCCCGGUAGCUACAUGCGGAAGAGAUAAGUGCUGAAAGCAUCUAAGCACGAAACUUGCCCCGAGAUGAAUCUUCCCUGAGCCUUUAAGGCUCCUGAAGGAACGUUGAAGACGACGACGUUGAUAGGCCGGGUGUGUAAGCGCAGCGAUGCGUUGAGCUAACCGGUACUAAUGAACCGUGAGGCUUAACCUUACA
rnacentral:rRNA from 1 species